AGAGAAGGGCCAUGUGAAACCGGCGACAUAUUUAGAUUCGCAUGAGAAGUUUCUAAUCGGUGUUGCUACAAAAGGAGUGGUCAAGCUGUUCAAUGCUGUUAACAAGGCACAACAUGCUCAGAAAGGAUUGAAUCCUUCGAGUUUUAAAGACAAAAAAGGUUCGGGUAUUUACUGUCUGCAGUGAUAAUUUGAGUGGCCUUCAUUCUUCCUUUACUUUUCCUUGUUGAAGUUUGUUCUAUAAAAUACAAAUGUGAACGUAUAGUACCAUUAGGUUUUAGGUAAGGAAUUGAUAGUUAAUGUGUCAUUUUGAAUUGAAUAUGGUUCUCUCUCUAGUAAUAGUCUUAUAGCACCUCUGGCCCUGAUGAAUUUCGGUGGUUUAUUUAAAUUACAUUUCCUGCUAAGCCUGUAAGGCAUCUAAUUUUUUGGCCAUCUAUAUCGGUAUUCUAUGUCUUUUCUUAUCUAUUAGUGUAUGAAAAGAAGGAUAUUACCGUGUUUUCAGCAACAUUUCAAUCAGGCAGUUACAAGCUUUAAAUGCUUAUUUGGUUUCUCAUAGACAGGCUCUCAUUCUUGAUUGUCUAUUUAAACUUAAUCCAACUGACUAUUAACAAUUCCUUUUACCAUCACCAUUCAUUAUGAUCCGGGCUAGGGGG